AGAGCGAGACAUGGUCUCAUUGAGAUAUUGUCACCUCGCUGAUUACCAGGGUUGAUUCUGCUGCUCUGGCUGGCUAGCUGGGUGCAGCCUGCCCUCCUCACACCUCGGUGUCUGUCUCUCCCAAAGCUGAAUGCUUGGUAGAGGAAGAUGGUGUUCCCUAGUAGAGAAGAUCAUUAUUUCCUAAAGGUAAUACAAGUAGCUGUGCUGCCCUCCAAAUAAGCUUGCAAGAAUCAGAGAGUGAAGAAUAUGUUUCUAAGGACAAAAAGAAAUAUGGUAUUUUCAUCCAGUUAGUUAUUCAACAGGAAGAACUGUUUCACU
rnacentral:snRNA from 1 species